UACGAAGGGGGGCUAGCGUUGUUCGGAUUUACUGGGCGUAAAGCGCACGUAGGCGGAUCGUUAAGUCGGGGGUGAAAUCCUGGAGCUCAACUCCAGAACUGCCUUCGAUACUGGCGAUCUUGAGUCCGGAAGAGGUGAGUGGAACUCCUAGUGUAGAGGUGGAAUUCGUAGAUAUUAGGAAGAACACCAGUGGCGAAGGCGGCUCACUGGUCCGGUACUGACGCUGAGGUGCGAAAGCGUGGGGAG
rnacentral:rRNA from 1 species